rnacentral:sRNA from 1 species
AAAACGUGUUUUCAAUUCAAAUUAAACAAGGAGUAACAGGCACCGCUCCUCAGUCCAGAGGCCUGGCCCUGCCAAGAAGGCGCUCUCCGGAAUCAACACCUGGGGGCUUGGAAGGAUGUUUCGCUCAGAUCGAAUGUGGAGCUGCCAUUGGAAAUGGAAGCCCAGUCCUCUCCUGUUCUUAUUUGCUUUAUAUAUCAUGUGUGUUCCUCACUCAGUGUGGGGAUGUGCCAACUGCCGAGUGGUUUUGUCCAACCCUUCUGGGACCUUUACUUCUCCAUGCUACCCUAACGACUACCCAAACAGCCAGGCUUGCAUGUGGACGCUCCGAGCCCCCACCGGUUAUAUCAUUCAGAUAACAUUUAACGACUUUGACAUUGAAGAAGCUCCCAAUUGCAUUUAUGACUCAUUAUCCCUUGAUAAUGGAGAGAGCCAGACUAAAUUUUGUGGAGCAACUGCCAAAGGCCUAUCAUUUAACUCAAGUGCGAAUGAGAUGCAUGUGUCCUUUUCAAGUGACUUUAGCAUCCAGAAGAAAGGUUUCAAUGCCAGCUACAUCAGAGUUGCCGUGUCCUUAAGGAAUCAAAAGGUCAUUUUACCCCAGACAUCAGAUGCUUACCAGGUUCCUACCUGAUCCCACUCCCAGCAGCAGAACUGGCCAGC